UUUAUUCAUGAGUGAUUUUGAAGUCAGUUUGAAAGCUAAAAUUUCAUUUGAAAGGUAAAAUUGAAAAUAGGGUAAUCUUGUAUUUAUGAUUUCUAUGUAUGCUACGUUUUUGGUUUUUUUUUUUUUCCUUUUUUUUUCCCCCAAAAUUAAGAAAAACACUUGAAAUGGCUUAAACCUGAUUUGACUUACUGCUUCUGUACCUCAGCUGGUAUGUCAUUUUAUUAUGAAACCUUCCUAAGAGAUUUAAAAGCUAUUCAUAGCUUAUUUAUACUUAGAUAGAAGAGAGUAGCCAUAACCUUACUGAUAAUAAUCGAUCUUGUGGUCAUGUAUUGAGUAUCUGAUUUUUUCUUUACCAGAGCGGGCAUUACCUGGGACUUGACCUGCUUUUAACUGAAGCUACUAGCAUAGCUGCUCCAAAGAGAUCUAAACCAAGGAGCAGAGCUGAUGUCUGUGGGAUGUGAAAUUAAAAGCCAUGUGACCAUAGGCAACAAGCUAACAGGAGAUAUGGGAUUAUAUUUUAGACCUAGGUGAUCAAAUUUUAGGUCUGUUUCAAGUAAUCUUCCUAUGACUAAGCACUUAACCCAAACUACUGAAAUGCCUUGGUGCAGAUUUGAUGAUUCUUUGGGCUUUGUGGUCAUGGUAUCGUUGUUAGUCUUAAAGCAGUCUCUCCAAGCUCUUCUAUCUUGUUUGAACAGUGACUGCAAGUUAAGGGGCACUUCCAGGAACUCUUUUUAGUCUGCUCUUGACCAUUUUUUUUCUUUCCACCUCUUACAGGUGACACUGUAGGAAAGCACUUUAAGGAAUGGAGAACCAGCACAGCAGUGGGUAGGACAUUGUUCUCAGCUGUGAAGUGCAGAGCAGGUAUGCUGCAUGAAGUGGAGACACUCCUUCCUUUACCUGUUGGGGACAGGAUGUAUCCUCUUCCCUUGGGAGGCAGGUGCAGCUCUGCAUCCCAAACCAGGGCCAAAUUCUUCCUCAGAAGCCUACAUGAGAGGUUACUCUGCUGUAGUUCUCAUUAAGCUUCACUCACUGUGUGCACAGCAGCUGAAUGCUGCUUUCAGUCCAUGUCCUGCCUCCCACCCAGACCAGCCCCAUGCUGGCUAGGGGAUGCAGGAUUGAUACCACGGGGCAGCAGUGGUCAGCACACAACAAGGGAAACACGGCCUGACUCAUCCACUGGAAUAUUGCUCAAGGAAAGGAGUUAUGGCAUAACAAAACUUAUAAAUACCUGAUUUGUUUUGCUUUUUGAAUAAGGGUUACCACCCUUACCAGGUGGCAAUAGCAAAUGCCAUGGAGCUCAUACAGCUUGUCACCAGUAGAGAAGUCCCACACCCCCCAUGAAUACAAGUUUCAGAGAGCACACUUCCAGCUUGAUCACAAAGAUUUGAUCUUAAAUUAAGCUCCCAACUUAACGGAGGGUAACUGGGGAUGUUAUUCCUAUUUUUAAAAUGUUACAGACGUUGCAAGGAAUGAGGGACAAGGGAUAGGUGUACAGGGCUCAGAUGCCCCAUCAGUGUCAGGGGGCUGCAGGGCUGUUUGAGACAAGGCAAGGACUGCCCCAUGCUGGACACAGACAGUUCGAGCCAACUCCAAUGGCCCCAGCACAGGGCAGGGUUGGGCCCAGCAGCUGCCCUGGGGUGAGGGCAGAAUGGGAGAGUGAGAGCGCAGCUGGGAGGGAAUUUGGGCUGAGCCAAGGUUAACCCACAGCAACAGACCCACAAGUUUUAAGACAGUUCCUAAGUAAAGGUACUUAGAAGAUGUACGUAUAGUCUGAAAGAUGCACAGAAAGAGCAUUAAUCGAAAGACUGACAGAGCAAGGACCAACAAAUGAGUUUAGGGUACUCUACAGAUACAGAGUCCAAUGCAAUAAUGGCUGCACUGCAUUAAUAACUGCAUGAAGCAACCACACAUAUGGAAAGCAAAAAAAUAAGGCAAGUUAGCUAACAAACUUACGAAAAAGCAGAGAGGUGCUUCUGAAGGAGACAAUCCCAUGGAAAGGCCAAGGGUUGUUCCCUUUUAUGGUCAGCUUUCUCUGCAUUUUUGUAAACUGCAUUUGAUUAUAACAGAAGAUAACUGAUGCAGAUUAUACAUUCCUAAUGAAAAUAACAAGGCAUCAAAUACUAGCUACUUGAUUAAGCAAAAGAAUGGUAAAACCAUGUAAUUUUCUUCAACCAUUAUUCUUAUAAUUCUAGCAUCUACCUGAUGCUAGACAUUUUCAGUUAUGGCCUCCAAUGUCAAACUUUCACUUACACUUUCCACAUUUCUCAAUUUUUUUUAAAUAUUUUUAAGGUAUGUUUGCACCAUUUAAAGAAAAAUGUUGAAGAUAUUGAAUUUGUCUCGAAUAAAUAAUCUAAAUUCUCACUUAAAAUUGAU
ensembl:lncRNA